CUUAAAUUUUCAUUUCCCACUAAAUUUUUUCUAUUUCUCUCUGGAAUUUUUAUUUUUCUACUUUCAUUUCUUAAGGCUUUUCGCAUCCCUACUCAAAUACUUCAUUUCCCUACUUUACAAAUCCCUAACCCUAUCACGUCUCUUGCAGCCUCUCUCUUAUCUCAUCUGGGCUUUCCAUGUCUCGUUCACUGAGAGGGCUUUUGCCUUCCAAUUUCUUUGCCACUCGCUGCUGGUUACCUCCCUCCUACCUCUUUAUCCCAUUUCUAUUAUUGGCUAUUGCUUUCAAUGCUGGUUACUCUUUUAUAUAUAAUAGACAGAGGGUCAUUUUGUUACUGUAGUGAACAAGGUAAGGUUUUUGUUAUUUCAUUUGUCUAUCUGUUAUAUUUAAAUACUAUUGUCGUGGAAUGCCCUUUUCAUUUGAAACGUUCGUACUUCAAAUUGGUGCAGGUUUUUUAUGGUUUAAAACUCUAAUUUGCUGGGUCAUGUUUUAAAGAUGGGCUUUUUUUCUAUGAGUGAUUUUGUCAAUUAUUUGGGCUUACUAGUUCAUUUCAGUAGUUGUUAGCUCCCGCUUUUUGUUAUUUUUGUCCGUACUUUAGAUGGUAUUAUUAAGUUUAUGCCUUUUUCCUUGGAAAUGAAAUAUAUGAACAAUACAAGGAUUACAUAGUGAUGCCAGGAUUUUUAAGUAUAGAGACGAGUGAUUCACAGCAAGAGUCAUGUUUGAUACACCUUCAGCUGAAAUUUAUUAAAAUAAGAGUACUCGGGUGCUGCUUAUGGAUUUGGUUAAUGUGGUGGAUAUUCAUGGAAGCCAUGGGGUUGAAUUAUUUGUUGGAUAUUAUAGUGAUACAUGAGCAACUUCUCAUCCCCCCCCCCCCGUUUGUUACAAAAUUCAAAAUAUGUAUUUUAGUGCUAUUUAAUUUUUAAAUCAAACUCUGUUUGGGUUCUUUCAGAAUUUGAAACCUGCUAUCCCUGAUUAUUGUCCCCUUGCCAUGAGGGCGUUGAUUGAUCAUUGUUGGUCUGUGCAACCGGACAAGAGUCCCAAGUUUUGGCAGAUUGUGAAAGAUCAUGCAUUUGUGCCUAUUGUUGUCAUUAAUAACUCAGGUGAUUGUAUUUGUGCUGUUCAUCCCUUGUGCUGCCUCUAUAUAUAUGAUUUUCUUUUCAUACCAAAACCAUCGGUAGUGCAAUUUUUUAUGUUUAUGUCUCAUGUUUGAAUCCCCCCCUCUCUCUUUCUUCUGCAGCACGAUAAUGCCUUUGGCGAUAGCCGUGAUACAAAGAAAGUUAACAUUCCUAGAUAUGCUGUAAGUCUCUUGAUAUGGCAUUAGUUUAUACUCUACUUUUAUGAAUCAUUCAGUUAAUUGAGUGGAAUUGUAGUUUCAUUUAUAAAAUUAUGCUUCUUUAGUGAAUGCUUUAAGCUUGUAUGCCAAACAAAGAAAAAUCGACAUUGUAUCCUGCAGUUUUUUGUGUUUAUUAGACUUUAGUCAUUGCCACGAGCAUAUAUAUUAAGUGGUGUUUCUCUUCUUGUUAAUAGAUUGUACUCCGCUUUAUUUGGCUGUUAUUUGCAGUAUAUUUUGCCAGAUUUAUAUUAAGGCUAUGCAUGGAUGAAAGGAUAGAAAACGAGGAGAGACAGAUAAUUGCAAUAUGGAUUUUCUGUCCUUUAAGGAGACAAAACUAUUGUCCUUCCUUUGGC
rnacentral:lncRNA from 1 species